GGCGGCGUGCCUAAUACAUGCAAGUCGAGCGGACAGAAGGGAGCUUGCUCCCGGAUGUUAGCGGCGGACGGGUGAGUAACACGUGGGUAACCUGCCUGUAAGACUGGGAUAACUCCGGGAAACCGGAGCUAAUACCGGAUAGUUCCUUGAACCGCAUGGUUCAAGGAUGAAAGACGGUUUCGGCUGUCACUUACAGAUGGACCCGCGGCGCAUUAGCUAGUUGGUGAGGUAACGGCUCACCAAGGCGACGAUGCGUAGCCGACCUGAGAGGGUGAUCGGCCACACUGGGACUGAGACACGGCCCAGACUCCUACGGGAGGCAGCAGUAGGGAAUCUUCCGCAAUGGACGAAAGUCUGACGGAGCAACGCCGCGUGAGUGAUGAAGGUUUUCGGAUCGUAAAGCUCUGUUGUUAGGGAAGAACAAGUGCAAGAGUAACUGCUUGCACCUUGACGGUACCUAACCAGAAAGCCACGGCUAACUACGUGCCAGCAGCCAGCGGUAAUACGUAGGUGGCAAGCGUUGUCCGGAAUUAUUGGGCGUAAAGGGCUCGCAGGCGGUUUCUUAAGUCUGAUGUGAAA
rnacentral:rRNA from 1 species